rnacentral:rRNA from 1 species
CCUACGGGAGGCAGCAGUGGGGAAUCUUGCGCAAUGGGCGAAAGCCUGACGCAGCCAUGCCGCGUGAAUGAUGAAGGUCUUAGGAUUGUAAAAUUCUUUCACCGGGGACGAUAAUGACGGUACCCGGAGAAGAAGCCCCGGCUAACUUCGUGCCAGCAGCCGCGGUAAUACGAAGGGGGCUAGCGUUGCUCGGAAUUACUGGGCGUAAAGGGAGCGUAGGCGGAUAGUUUAGUCAGAGGUGAAAGCCCAGGGCUCAACCUUGGAAUUGCCUUUGAUACUGGCUAUCUUGAGUGUGGGAGAGGUAUGUGGAACUCCGAGUGUAGAGGUGAAAUUCGUAGAUAUUCGGAAGAACACCAGUGGCGAAGGCGACAUACUGGCCCAUUACUGACGCUGAGGCUCGAAAGCGUGGGGAGCAAACAGGAUUAGAUACCCUGGUAGUCCACGCUGUAAACGAUGAGUGCUAGUUGUCGGCAGGCAUGCCUGUCGGUGACGCNGCUACGCAUAGCACUCCGCCGUGGGAGUACGGUCGCGAGAAUUAAACGUACAAGUAGAAGUUAGACGGCGUGAGACGUGCCGACGGACGACGACGAGGGAGGUUAGG